CUAUCUUCUGGCUCCUGAGACGUCUCCGCAAGCCCAGUGGGUUCCUGUCUCAAGGGCUACGUGUGGGCUGUUCCCUCGCUCCCCGACCCGGAUCUCCACGUGGUGGCCCUGCAUCCUCCUGAAUCUACCAAAUCAGUGGUUGUUCCACGUGAAUAAGAACUUGGUUUCCUUCACUCUGGACUUUUCCCAGAGCCUGACACGUGGGGGCGGUUCUGUGACGGGACACCCAACAGCAGUCGAGAGGGCUGGAGUGCGUGCGAGAUGAACUGGGAAGGAAAGCUGUGGCUUACUGAAUGCUUGCAACAAAUCAGAAGUAAGACUGUCCGCAGAAAAGGCGCUGGCUUCACGGAUCCUGGCAGGAGGGCAGCCAGGGAGCUGGGGUUUGUCCAGCCUGCAGCCCUGGCACCAUUCCCGUGGUGGCAUGGUUGGUGUGGAGUCCACAGGCGGGCAGUUGUCCUCUGAGGAUAUGGCUUCCCACAGGGUUGUUCCACGUGAAUAAGAAGGUGACCCUGGGGGAAAAUGUGUUAACCAGGCCCCUGUGGCAAUUACAAGCUUGAUGCAAACGCAUAAAUAGGCACUUAAUCAGGAAAUCUCUUGUGAAUUGAGUUAGAGUGAGUCAGUCGCUCAAGCCUUGGCAGCUCUGAUACUCAAGAAAUGAAGGUUCUAAACCAGCCAGGUUGCACUGCGGACCUGUCUACCUGACCUUCCUCUGUGCCAAGGCUUCUUAAAGUUUGGCACCCAGAGCUGCAGCAUCAGCAUCACCUGAGAACUUGUCGGAACACAAAUUCUCCAGCCUUGUCCUCAAUUUACUGAAUGGGAAACUCUGUGG